AUGGCCGAAUGCUUCAAUAGGGUGCUGAAAGGUGCACGUGGAUUACCCGUGACGGCAAUAGUUCAAUACACAUUUGACAAGAUGAAUGCGUACUUUGUAAAGUACUCGAUGGAAACCGAUGCACAGAUAGCGGGUGAGAACCCACGGAAGUACAAGUACAAGUUCCCACCCAAAGUUGAUGAAUGGUUGCUAUUUCAAUCACGGAAGGCGGACUCAGAAGAAGCUAUAUUAUAUGACAAUGAGGAGUGGAAGUACGAAGUGAAAGAGCCAGGAGGAACCACAAACGAUGGCCGGCAACAUGGAGGUCGGGCUUUCAAGGUGUCGUUAACACAAUGUGAUUGCACUUGCGGGAGGCCAUUGUUGCUUCAUCUCCCAUGCUCACAUUUGUAUGCCGCCGGCCGCGUUAGGAAUGUGGACAUCAAUCACCCACGCACCGUGAGGGAGUCCCAGUUCUCAAUCAUGACGGUCAAGAAAACAUGGGCUCCCCGCUUUCACCCAUACUUUGACCAAUCACAAUGGCCGGAGUAUCAUGGAGUUCAACUAUGGCCGGAUCCG
rnacentral:rRNA from 1 species